AACGAACGCUGGCGGCAGGCUUAACACAUGCAAGUCGAGCGCCCCGCAAGGGGAGCGGCAGACGGGUGAGUAACGCGUGGGAAUCUACCCAUCUCUACGGAAUAACUCAGGGAAACUUGUGCUAAUACCGUAUACGCCCUUCGGGGGAAAGAUUUAUCGGAGAUGGAUGAUCCCGCGUUGGAUUAGCUAGUUGGUGGGGUAAUGGCCUACCAAGGCGACGAUCCAUAGCUGGUCUGAGAGGAUGAUCAGCCACACUGGGACUGAGACACGGCCCAGACUUCUACGGGAGGCAGCAGUGGGGAAGGUUGGACAAUGGGCGAAAGCCUGAUCCAGCCAUGCCGCGUGAGUGAUGAAGGCCCUAGGGUUGUAAAGCUCUUUCACCGGUGAAGAUAAUGACGGUAACCGGAGAAGAAGCCCCGGCUAACUUCGUGCCAGCCGCCGCUGUAAAAC
rnacentral:rRNA from 1 species